rnacentral:lncRNA from 10 species
ACAGGCUAAGAAAGAGAUCGCCUUAAUAAGAAUAUUUUUCAGGUAGUAGAAGCCAAACUCUUAACAGAUGGGAAAAUGAAUGAAAGUUGAAGCCCAGACUGCUGUCUCACAAGCCCUCAUGCCUCCAGGGCCAGGUAUGGUGGCGCAUGCCUUUAAUCCCAGCUACUCGGGAGGCUAAGGUGGGAGGAUCACUUGAGACCAGGAGUUUGAGACCAGCCUGGGCAACAUAGUGAGACCCCAAUCUCUAAAAAAAAUUAAUUUAAAAAUAAAAAGUAGUACAUCCAGUAAGUGGGAAGAGGAGAGAUGCGAAACGCUAUUUUGUGUCUCUCCUAAGUGGAGAGGAGAGAAGCUAUUGGAGAGCUGGCUCCAAGUGAGCACCCACCAAAGAGAAGGGCCAACUGAUGGAGCAAACUGCUGAAGAAGAGGGGAAGUGCUGGAACCCCGAGCCCAAGUAGCAGAGUCUGCCAGGAAAGGCACACCUGCUCCUUCCUCUUCAACAACAGGAAGGACCAGCACGCUUAUAGAUGUCUGCACAGAGGAGAUCAGGAGACCUGAUGGCCUCGGCAUUUUCUGGGAAGUGAGGGGGAAAGUCUUUCUGUACAUAGCACCAAUACCUGGUACACAGCAAGUGCUGUUAUCAUUUACUGAAGGAAUGAAUCCUGGGGCUACAGCAUAACCCACAAGGAGCCUAGAAUCUGGUCCCUGCCCAAGUCACCACUCCAAGCUGUUGCCUUUCUCCCCUAUACCUUUCAUCAAUCUGUCCUCAUCUCAGAUGGAAACAUGAGCUACCAGCACACAAAACAUGAGCUACCAGCACAUAAACAUGAGCUACCAGCACACAAAAUAUGAGCUACCAGCACAUAAAUAUGAGCUAUCAACACAUAACAUGAGCUAUCAGCACACAAUCUGUCCUCACCUCAGAUGGAAACAUGAGCUACCAGCAUACAAAUGUGCUACUUGCACAAAGGCAAGUACAUGCCCACAUACCAAACACACACACACACACACACACACACACACACACACACCCUAUAUGCCCAUGAGAAGGAGGGAAAAAAGGAACUCUUAUGCCUAAGCCCCAGAGAAUGAAAUAUUGUGGUCUAUUAUCAGUGACACAGAGACACAGUACCUUGAUGAAGCAAAGAUGGAUGCAUUGAGGCCCCCAAAGCAGGACAGGGCAACAGCAAUGGGGAUGGUCCAGCUGAACAUGCCAAACGUCUGGUCAGCAAAUGUCUGGGGGCAGGGCACAGAAAAGGCACUUAAACGCACAGGGUUUCAUAAUCCUCCUGCAUCUAUGAUCUCGGAACAAAUGCAAUCACUGCUAAGCAGCCCACCCUCUGGCCUAGACUCAUGACCUCAUCCUGCAGAGCUGAGGAGGGUGCAGUAAGACAGACUGAGCUGUGCAGGGUGGCUCAGUAUCAGGAGAUGAUGAACAAAUGGGGAUCCCAAGAGACUCACCACAGCCACAGCAUCACUGCUAAGGACAUCUGAAAUGUUCAGCACUGUGUAAUAGGCCACAUUGGUCAGGAUGUAGAUGAGCGUCACAAUUGGCAUAGAAAUCCCAAUGGCCAAGGGCAAAUUUCUGUCAGGACAAGUGAGAAAGGACUACCUAGAACCAACCUCUCCUUGGGAACAAAGUUUAUCAAGUCUCCACUGGGAUUUUCCUAACAUUUAACAGUUCACUAGCCUCCAAGUCUUUGAGGGAGGCUCACCUUCCCCUUGACCCUGGGUUCUUUCUAUUGAGAAAGACCCAACUUUCUCUGUGAAGAUAGCUCAUGAUCAAUAUUUAAUCUUUGCCACAGUAGGACCAAUGGGUCCUACUGGGUUUCAUAAUCCUCCUGCAUCUGUGAUCUCAGAGGAACAGUGCAAGGAACAGUGUCCUGGGGACUGGAUGCCAGGCUGGGGACCCAGCUGGCCAGAAUAAGUUUUGGUUCUGCGGGCUGUAGUGUCAGCACCAGAGUCCGAGGUCCUAAUUCCUUUGCCCCAGCUGGGCCUGCUGCUCCCCACUGAAGGCCCUCUCCUCUAGGAAGGCCCUAUCCUCCAGUGCGAACGUGAGGACAGGGAGCCGAAGGCUUUCCUACCUUCACUCACUCCCAUUCUAGCCCUCAGCCCCUCCUAGCUGGAGAAGGGGGAGUAGGGAGAAGAGGGGAGGAGAGUCGGAGGGAGGAGGAGAAGGAUGAGGGCAGGCACGCCCACUAUCAGCAGGAGUUCCAGCCAAGCUGGGGAGUGAGAGUGUGAUCCCAUCUUUACCUUUCUGGGUUUUUGAUUUCUUCUGUUACAAAAUUAAGGGUGUCCCAACCUGAGUAAGAGAAGAGGGCAGAGUAGAGGGCAAGAGAGAGGUUUCCCAUGUCCCAGGAGGAACCCUCAAAGGCGUCCUGAAAGUGCUCAGAGUGUCCUGUGGGGGCAAAGGCAGGUGAGGGGUUCAGAGAGAAGGAACAGGCCAAAGGAGAAAGGAAGAGGAGAUGGGAGGUGUAAGAGAAAGAUACGAAAGGAGAAUAGGAAAGAGGAAGGGAAGAUGAAAAAAAGGAGGAAUGGGGAGGAACAAGAAAGAAAAAACAAGAAGGCAGGGGAAAGAAAAAAAAACAUAAUUUAACACCAAAAGAUCAACAACCACUAGCUCCCUACACUUUACCACCCCACCCACUUCCUCAGGAAAGCUCACAUUCCUUUAAUAAAACUAGACAAUAAAAAACCAAAGACAUUC